GGAAAAGAGUACUUGUUGGUCAUGGAUGAUGUGUGGAACGAAAGCCAUGAGAAAUGGAUUGAUCUAAAAAGAUUUUUUAAUGGGUGGUGCCAAGGGAAGUAAGAUUUUGGUGACGACCCGUAAUCUUCAAGUUGCGCAAGCUUCUGACACAGUUUGGUUCCAUCACUUAAAAGAACUUGACAAGGACAACUCUUGGGUGUUGUUUCGAAA
rnacentral:misc_RNA from 1 species